AUUGAACGCUGGCGGCAGGCCUAACACAUGCAAGUCGAACGAGUGGCGGACGGGUGAGUAAUGUCUGGGAAACUUCCUGAUGGAGGGGGAUCACUACUGGAAACGGUCGCUAAUACCUCCUACCAUCGUAUGUACCCAGAUGGGAUUAGCUAGUAGGUGGGGUAACGGCUCACCUAGGCGACGAUCCCUCGCUGGUCUGAGAGGCUGACCAGCCACACUGGAAAGGAGACACGGUCAAGACUCCUACGGGAGGCAGAAGUGGGGAAUAUUGCACAAUGGGCGCAAGCCUGAUGCAGCAAUGCCGCGUGUGGGAAGAAGGCUUUCGGGUUGUAAAGUACUUUCAGCGGGGAGGCGUUACCCGCAGAAGAAGCACCGGCUAACUCCGUGCCAGCCGCCGCGGUAAUUC
rnacentral:rRNA from 1 species